rnacentral:rRNA from 1 species
AUUGAACGCUGGCGGCAGGCCUAACACAUGCAAGUCGAACGAGUGGCGGACGGGUGAGUAAUGUCUGGGAAACUGCCUGAUGGAUGGGGUUAACUACUGGAAACGGUAGCUACUACCGCCUACCAUCAGCUGUGCCCAGAUGGGAUUAGCUUGUUGGUGGGGUAACGGCUCACCACGGCGACGAUCCCUAGCUGGUCUGAGAGGAUGACCAGCCACACUGGAACUGAGACACGGUCCAGACUCCUACGGGAGGCAGAAGUGGGGAAUAUUGCACAAUGGGCGCAAGCCUGAUGCAGCCAUGCCGCGUGUAUGAAGAAGGCCUUCGGGUUGUAAAGGACUUUAAGCGGGGAGGCGUUACCAGCAGAAGAAGCACCGGCUAACUCCGUGCCAGCAGCCGCGGUAAUAC